rnacentral:rRNA from 1 species
UACGUAGGGGGCAAGCGUUGUCCGGAAUCAUUGGGCGUAAAGGGCGCGUAGGUGGUGACCUAAGCGUGCGGUGAAAGCCCGAGGCUCAACCUCGGGUCGGCCGUGCGAACUGGGUCACUGGAGCAGAAUAGAGGCAGGUGGAAUUCCGGGUGUAGCGGUGGAAUGCGUAGAGAUCCGGAAGAACACCGGUGGCGAAGGCGGCCUGCUGGGUUCUGGCUGACACUGAGGCGCGACAGCGUGGGGAGCAAACAGG